ACGAACGCUGGCGGCGUGCCUAAUACAUGCAAGUCGAACGCUUCUUUUUCCACCGGAGCUUGCUCCACCGGAAAAAGAGGAGUGGCGAACGGGUGAGUAACACGUGGGUAACCUGCCCAUCAGAAGGGGAUAACACUUGGAAACAGGUGCUAAUACCGUAUAACAAUCGAAACCGCAUGGUUUUGAUUUGAAAGGCGCUUUCGGGUGUCGCUGAUGGAUGGACCCGCGGUGCAUUAGCUAGUUGGUGAGGUAACGGCUCACCAAGGCGACGAUGCAUAGCCGACCUGAGAGGGUGAUCGGCCACAUUGGGACUGAGACACGGCCCAAACUCCUACGGGAGGCAGCAGUAGGGAAUCUUCGGCAAUGGACGAAAGUCUGACCGAGCAACGCCGCGUGAGUGAAGAAGGUUUUCGGAUCGUAAAACUCUGUUGUUAGAGAAGAACAAGGAUGAGAGUAACUGUUCAUCCCUUGACGGUAUCUAACCAGAAAGCCACGGCUAACUACGUGCCAGCAGCCGCGGUAAUACGUAGGUGGCAAGCGUUGUCCGGAUUUAUUGGGCGUAAAGCGAGCGCAGGCGGUUUCUUAAGUCUGAUGUGAAAGCCCCCGGCUCAACCGGGGAGGGUCAUUGGAAACUGGGAGACUUGAGUGCAGAAGAGGAGAGUGGAAUUCCAUGUGUAGCGGUGAUAUGCGUAUAUUUAUGGAGGAACACCAGUGGCGACGGCGGCUCUCUGGUCUUUAACUGACGCUGAGGCUCGAAAGCGUGGGGAGCAAACAGGAUUAGAUACCCUGGUAGUCCACGCCGUAAACGAUGAGUGCUAAGUGUUGGAAGGUUUCCGCCCUUCAGUGCUGCAGCUAACGCAUUAAGCACUCCGCCUGGGGAGUACGACCGCAAGGUUGAAACUCAAAGGAAUUGACGGGGGCCCGCACAAGCGGUGGAGCAUGUGGUUUAAUUCGAAGCAACGCGAAGAACCUUACCAGGUCUUGACAUCCUUUGACCACUCUAGAGAUAGAGCUUCCCCUUCGGGGGCAAAGUGACAGGUGGUGCAUGGUUGUCGUCAGCUCGUGUCGUGAGAUGUUGGGUUAAGUCCCGCAACGAGCGCAACCCUUAUUGUUAGUUGCCAUCAUUUAGUUGGGCACUCUAGCAAGACUGCCGGUGACAAACCGGAGGAAGGUGGGGAUGACGUCAAAUCAUCAUGCCCCUUAUGACCUGGGCUACACACGUGCUACAAUGGGAAGUACAACGAGUCGCAAAGUCGCGAGGCUAAGCUAAUCUCUUAAAGCUUCUCUCAGUUCGGAUUGUAGGCUGCAACUCGCCUACAUGAAGCCGGAAUCGCUAGUAAUCGCGGAUCAGCACGCCGCGGUGAAUACGUUCCCGGGCCUUGUACACACCGCCCGUCACACCACGAGAGUUUGUAACACCCGAAGUCGGUGAGGUAACCUUUUGGAGCCAGCCGCCUAAGGUGGGAUAGAUGAUUGGGGUG
rnacentral:rRNA from 1 species